rnacentral:rRNA from 1 species
ACUCCUACGGGAGGCAGCAGUGGGGAAUUUUGGACAAUGGGCGCAAGCCUGAUCCAGCAAUGCCGCGUGCAGGAAGAAGGCCUUCGGGUUGUAAACUGCUUUUGUCAGGGAAGAAAUCUUCUGGGCUAAUACCCCGGGAGGAUGACGGUACCUGAAGAAUAAGCACCGGCUAACUACGUGCCAGCAGCCGCGGUAAUACGUAGGGUGCGAGCGUUAAUCGGAAUUACUGGGCGUAAAGCGUGCGCAGGCGGCUUUGCAAGACAGAGGUGAAAUCCCCGGGCUCAACCUGGGAACUGCCUUUGUGACUGCAAGGCUAGAGUACGGCAGAGGGGGAUGGAAUUCCGCGUGUAGCAGUGAAAUGCGUAGAUAUGCGGAGGAACACCGAUGGCGAAGGCAAUCCCCUGGGCCUGUACUGACGCUCAUGCACGAAAGCGUGGGGAGCAGACAGGAUUAGAUACCCUGGUAGUCCACGCCCUAAACGAUGUCAACUGGUUGUUGGACGGCUUGCUGUUCAGUAACGAAGCUAACGCGUGAAGUUGACCGCCUGGGGAGUACGGCCGCAAGGUUGAAACUCAAAUGAAUUGACGG